rnacentral:rRNA from 1 species
AGACCCGAAACCCGGUGAUCUAGCCAUGGGCAGGUUGAAGGUUGGGUAACACUAACUGGAGGACCGAACCGACUAAUGUUGAAAAAUUAGCGGAUGACCUGUGGCUGGGGGUGAAAGGCCAAUCAAACCGGGAGAUAGCUGGUUCUCCCCGAAAGCUAUUUAGGUAGCGCCUCGUGAACUCAUCUCCGGGGGUAGAGCACUGUUUCGGCUAGGGGGCCAUCCCGGCUUACCAACCCGAUGCAAACUGCGAAUACCGGAGAAUGUUAUCACGGGAGACACACGGCGGGUGCUAACGUCCGUCGUGAAGAGGGAAACAACCCAGACCGCCAGCUAAGGUCCCAAAGUCAUGGUUAAGUGGGAAACGAUGUGGGAAGGCCCAGACAGCCAGGAUGUUGGCUUAGAAGCAGCCAUCAUUUAAAGAAAGCGUAAUAGCUCACUGGUCGAGUCGGCCUGCGCGGAAGAUGUAACGGGGCUAAACCAUGCACCGAAGCUGCGGCAGCGACACUGUGUGUUGUUGGGUAGGGGAGCGUUCUGUAAGCCGUUGAAGGUGUGUCGUGAGGCAUGCUGGAGGUAUCAGAAGUGCGAAUGCUGACAUAAGUAACGAUAAAGCGGGUGAAAAGCCCGCUCGCCGGAAGACCAAGGGUUCCUGUCCAACGUUAAUCGGGGCAGGGUGAGUCGACCCCUAAGGCGAGGCCGAAAGGCGUAGUCGAUGGGAAACGGGUUAAUAUUCCCGUACUUGGUGUUACUGCGAAGGGGGGACGGAGAAGGCUAUGUUGGCCGGGCGACGGUAGUCCCGGUUUAAGCGUGUAGGCUGGUUUUCCAGGCAAAUCCGGAAAAUCAAGGCUGAGGCGUGAUGACGAGGCACCACGGUGCUGAAGCAACAAAUGCCCUGCUUCCAGGAAAAGCCUCUAAGCAUCAGGUAACAUCAAAUCGUACCCCAAACCGACACAGGUGGUCAGGUAGAGAAUACCAAGGCGCUUGAGAGAACUCGGGUGAAGGAACUAGGCAAAAUGGUGCCGUAACUUCGGGAGAAGGCACGCUGACACGUAGGUGAAGUGAUUUACUCAUGGAGCUGAAGUCAGUCGAAGAUACCAGCUGGCUGCAACUGUUUAUUAAAAACACAGCACUGUGCAAACACGAAAGUGGACGUAUACGGUGUGACGCCUGCCCGGUGCCGGAAGGUUAAUUGAUGGGGUCAGCGCAAGCGAAGCUCCUGAUCGAAGCCCCGGUAAACGGCGGCCGUAACUAUAACGGUCCUAAGGUAGCGAAAUUCCUUGUCGGGUAAGUUCCGACCUGCACGAAUGGCGUAAUGAUGGCCAGGCUGUCUCCACCCGAGACUCAGUGAAAUUGAACUCGCUGUGAAGAUGCAGUGUACCCGCGGCAAGACGGAAAGACCCCGUGAACCUUUACUAUAGCUUGACACUGAACAUUGAGCCUUGAUGUGUA